rnacentral:rRNA from 1 species
UACAGAGGUCUCAAGCGUUGUUCGGAUUCAUUGGGCGUAAAGGGUGCGUAGGCGGCGCGGUAAGUCGGGUGUGAAAUCUCGGAGCUUAACUCCGAAACUGCAUUCGAUACUGCCGUGCUUGAGGACUGGAGAGGAGACUGGAAUUUACGGUGUAGCGGUGAAAUGCGUAGAGAUCGGGAGGAACAUCUGUGGCGAAGGCGACUGCCUGGACCAGCACUGACACUGAGGCACGAAAGCGUGGGGAGCAAACAGGG